UCCUGGCUCAGAGCGAACGUUAGCGGCGGGCCUAACACAUGCAAGUCGAACGCGAAAGGUCUUCGGACUGAGUAGAGUGGCGCACGGGUGAGUAACACGUAGGUAAUCUACCCUUUGGCGGGGGAUAACGUUCCGAAAGGAGCGCUAAUACCGCAUAAGACCACGGAGUCUCCGGACGCUGUGGGAAAAGGUGGCCUCUUCUUGAAAGCUACCACCGAAGGAUGAGCCUGCGUCCCAUCAGCUAGUUGGUAAGGUAAUGGCUUACCAAGGCGAAGACGGGUAGCUGGUUUGAGAGAAUGAUCAGCCACACUGGCACUGGAACACGGGCCAGACUCCUACGGGAGGCAGCAGUGAGGAAUAUUGGGCAAUGGGCGAAAGCCUGACCCAGCCACGCCGCGUGAGUGAUGAAGGCCCUCGGGUCGUAAAGCUCUGUGGAGAGGGACGAAAACCCUGGUUUCAAAUAGGCUCCAGGCUUGACGGUACCUCUUUAGCAAGCACCGGCUAACUCUGUG
rnacentral:rRNA from 1 species